UGACGUCUUCGGGGUUAGGUGAAAUUCCUUACCGGCGGUGAAAGCCCGCGAGCUGCCCCAGGGGCAGUUGAUCCGGUGAAACUCCGGAGCCGACAGUGAAAGUCUGGAUGGGAGAAGGCGUCU
rnacentral:ncRNA from 2 species